rnacentral:rRNA from 1 species
UACGUAGGGAGCAAGCGUUUGUUCGGAUUUACUGGGCGUACAGCGCGCGCAGGCGGUCCACUACGUGCCGUGUGACAGACGUCGGCUUAACCGACGUAGGCCAGGGUACACGGGUGAACUUGAGGCAGAGAGAGGGAUGUGGAAUACCCGGUGGAGCGGUGAAAUGCGUAGAGAUGUGGAGGAACACCAGUGGCGAAGGCGGCUUUCUGGUCUGUAACUGACGCUGGAGGCGCGAAAGCGUGGGGAGCAAACAGG